AAACUUCUUUUGUGUGUGUGCCUGAGAAGAGAUGAACAUACAUUCCCUCCUACCAGGCUGAACGUUUGGCCAGAAAACACAACUCACCCGUUGGCGGCUGACAAUCCAGGCUCAUCAAAAUAAAUGUGGGGUCCCCUUCAUCUAUAGAGGUUGAGAAGAACUCGGAGAGCUGGACCUGGCCCUCUAAGGCAAUGGUGGGAUUGUGGACUUCACACUGGAUGCCAGUAUGGAACACUGAGAUCCAAAUGAGACAAAUCACAUCUUAGCAGAGGCCAGUGUGGGCAAAGAAUUGUCAUGGCCAUGUUUUCCCAUUCCCCCUGGUGCCAGCAGAUCGUACACGGAGCAUAGAUCACCCCCAGGAAGAA